ensembl:lncRNA
CUGAUACUGAAAUAUGUGGCUAUAGUGGUAUAUUUGUGCAACAGUGGCCCAGUACCCUAACUAGGACAGCCUGACUAAGGUGAAUUGAACACUGUCUAUGCUUGACAGGGUGACUGUGAUAAAGUGGACUUAAUAAUUGACGCUGUGUCUGGGACUUCAACAGAAGGCCAGAGAAAACAGGCGUGGUUUCAGUUUAGAUUUAAACACUGAGUCUGAGUCCCGAACACUGAACGGCAAGAGAAGGAUCUGCUCACAGCUGUUACCUUCUGUUCUUUGGGGACCAGUAGUGACCCCACACGCGUUGAUCGCAGGGGACGUGACGGAUUGUGGCAAGUUCACUCAGGAAACGCUGACAAAAUACAAGUGAACUGCACAGAAUUCUGGACAGGAAACAUCAUUUGCCAUUAUGAACUCAACAUAAAUGGCAAUUAGGUGCAAAUAAAUCUAGGUAAUAUUACACUGCGCCGAGCUAAAUAAGAGUCUGUAAAGCAUAUUUUAUUGCUAUUAAGGUUAUAUUCUCUAUUCAUCUCUUCAGGACGAUCUCCUUUCAUUCUGCUCUGUGUUGCGGGUGUUGUGAUUCUGCUCAUCUUGUGCAUCUCAAUGUUUUCCUGUUGUGCAAUUCUUCAAGGUGGGACACACCAACCGAUACCAUGUAUAGGGAACAGACACCACAGAUCCUCCAGAAGGUUAAUGGCAUUUUUCAGUGAUAAGAAUGAAAAGAGUUCUCAUAUGUAUGUGGACAGAUCAGCACACCACUUGUGAGGCUGAAGGAGGAAACCCAAUAAUACAGGCUAGUGAAAUUAAUUCAUCAAUACAGGGAGAACUGUGUCCUAAACAGACAUAAUUGUUAAAAAACAAUUCCACUAUUUUAACAGCAGGUGGCAGAAGAAGAAGCAAGCUACGCAGCAGUGAGCCUCCUGAAAAGCUCCCCAAAUGUGAUCAGGUUCAAGCAGAAAUCUGAGUAUGCAUCUGUGGUCAUCACAUAGCCACUGUGAUGACCCAGGGAGCCACGAUUGUGUUGUACUUUUAUUUCAGUUAGCCAUACAGACCUUAAGCUUGACCUGUACUCCAAGCAGCUGUUUUUAUAUACUUGGUAUCGUUUGGUGUGUCCCUCCUUAAAGAAUUGCACAUAUGCAUGUGCAUAUUUCUAAAAUCAAGCUGUAGCAGCAUGAUCACAUAACUUAAAAGGCAUGUUGACUCUGUAUUCACUUUUUAAUUUGUUUAGUGUCGAGCAUUAGUUUUUUGUUCAAAUUAAACAAAUCAUUGGUACAGUUAAUUUUUUUUUCAUAUUCACAGAAGAUCAGAAGGCCAC